CCUACGGGUGGCAGCAGUGAGGAAUAUUGGUCAAUGGGCGCGAGCCUGAACCAGCCAAGUCGCGUGAAGGAUGACUGCCCUACGGGUUGUAAACUUCUUUUAUAAAGGAAUAAAGUGCGGCACGUGUGCCUUUUUGUAUGUACUUUAUGAAUAAGGAUCGGCUAACUCCGUGCCAGCAGCCGCGGUAAUACGGAGGAUCCAAGCGUUAUCCGGAUUUAUUGGGUUUAAAGGGGGCGUAGAUGGGUUGUUAAGUCAGUUGUGAAAGUCUGCGGCUCAACCGUAAAAUUGCAAUUGAUACUGGCAGGCUUGAGUACAGUUGAGGUAGGCGGAAUUCGUGGUGUAGCGGUGAAAUGCAUAGAUAUCACGAAGAACUCCGAUUGCGAAGGCAGCUUACUAAACUGCGACUGACAUUGAGGCUCGAAAGUGUGGGUAUCAAACAGGAUUAGAUACCCGGGUAGUC
rnacentral:rRNA from 1 species